AUUGAACGCUGGCGGCAGGCCUAACACAUGCAAGUCGAACGAGUGGCGGACGGGUGAGUAAUGUCUGGGAAACUGCCUGAUGGAGGGGGAUCACUACUGGAAACGGUAGCUAAUACCGCAUACCAUCGGAUGUGCCCAGAUGGGAUUAGCUUGUAGGUGGGGUAAAGGCUCCCCUAGGCGACGAUCCCUAGCUAGUCUGAGAGGAUGACCAGCCACACUGGAACUGAGACACGGUCCAGACUCCUACGGGAGGCAGCAGUGGGGAAUAUUGCACAAUGGGCGCAAGCCUGAUGCAGCCAUGCCGCGUGUAUGAAGAAGGCCUUCGGGUUGUAAAGUACUUUCAGCGGGGAGGCGUUACCCGCAGAAGAAGCACCGGCUAACUCCGUGCCAGCAGCCGCGGUAAUAC
rnacentral:rRNA from 1 species